rnacentral:rRNA from 1 species
UACGGAGGAUCCAAGCGUUAUCCGGAUUUAUUGGGUUUAAAGGGUGCGUAGGCGGCUUAUUAAGUCAGGGGUGAAAGACGGUGGCUCAACCAUCGCAGUGCCUUUGAUACUGAUGAGCUUGAAUACACUUGAUGUAGGCGGAAUGUGACAAGUAGCGGUGAAAUGCAUAGAUAUGUCACAGAACACCAAUUGCGAAGGCAGCUUACUAAGGUGCAAUUGACGCUGAGGCACGAAAGCGUGGGGAUCAAACAGG